rnacentral:lncRNA from 1 species
GAUUAAACAAUUUGGAUAUUUAACAACCCAACAACUAGUUGAGAAAGUAACAUUCAAGAAUUAUGUGAACGGAAUAAGGAUCGAAAUAUAGAUAGGUGAAAUUUAACCUUAAAUUAACAUAAACCAUCUUCAAUUUGAGCUUUAAGAUGACAUCAAAUAACCAACCCUGUCAUGAGGAAUCAAGAGCAAUUCCGAGCCAUGUUUGAGAAAUAUAUUAUCUGAAAGAUCCAUUCAUUUAUUUUAGAUAAGAAGUUAGAAUUUAAACAAUUAAAUUGCCAAAUGAAGUCCAUUAACAACACAUUUUUGAAUUAUAUUUCUAACACGAAUUUAGAAUUAUGUAAAAAUAUUAGUUCAACAUUAGAACUUACUUAAAAAUUAACAUUCACAAAAAUAUGUCAAGAGAUAGCAGAAUUAAUUAUGUGGAUACCAUGGAGAAACAGAAAACAGUUAGAAAAGAUCUAAUACAAAAGUUAAAAGAAAUGGUAAGAUCAAAAGUGUUGAUCCCAGAAAAUGUUGCCAACAGAUGCCGGACCCACCCGCACACACGUAAGCAAAAGUCCAACACGCUGAGACACAUGGACAAUCUAAAACGGACAGAUCAAGGGCGUGGGAGUAGCUCAAUGGCGCGGGACGAGAACGUUCGGAAUCCGGCGGGAUAUUCGUUAAUCGAUUGUACAAUAAUUACCAAUCGAUGUUUGUCAAUGUGUAUCUAAAUGUAUAUGAACUUGUUUGUGUUGCAAGAUAAUAAGAUAGAGAGAAUUGAGUAAAGUAUGGUUUCUUGUAUUGAUUCUUGCAUUAGCCUUUGUAUGGGGUACAUGGGGAGUAUUUAUAGUGUUACAAGUUAGAUCGUGACCUUUGGUUCGGGGUACACGUGGCCUCAUCCGGUUAAUUUACAUGUCAAAUUAUAGGCAUCAGCCACACCUAGCCUGCUAUACAUUUAGUGAUUGGCAGAGCCGCCUCUACUAGUGACAAGACUUAACAUUUACACUCAUGAUAAAUGUCCUAUCAAUCAUUCUAGUAAGAUCUUUGUGCAGAGGAUCUCUUGGGAGAAGUGUCUAUGGAAGAUACUGCUUUGUGCUUCAGAGGUUGCCACCUCGACUACAGAACUUCGGCCAAUAGGGCCUCGUCCACCUUUAAAGGGGCCUUGGCAUAUGGGCUUCGGAAGCUUCUCAAGAGGCAAUGAUAGAUGGGCCUCGGUAUAUAUGGGUCGGGGCUUCUAUGGAGCUUGGUUUAUGGGACUCGACUAUGCAAAUCACCUCGGCUUGAGUGCCACGUGGUUCGGCAUGAGUUGGCUGUAGGUCCCGUGGGUUGCCAAAGUGUGCAAACACGUAACAAUAGUCCCCCAAGUCCGAUUACAGUCAUUUAUGUAAUGCGAGGAUUUCGGUGAAGUAAAGUCAAUUGGUUAAAUCAAAAGAAAAUUUUGAAAUUUUUUGUACCCCAAAUAAUAGUCCCCCAAGUCCAAGUAUAUUCGUUUAUGUAAUGCGAGGAUUUCGAUGAAGUAAAGUCAAUUGGUUAAAUCGAAAGAAAAUUUAGAAAUUUUUUUUACCCUAAAUAAUUGUCCCCCAAGUCCAAGUAUAGAUAUUUAUAUCAUGGUUGGAGUUAGAGAUGUGCCGUUGUCGAGGAGUGACGAGAAUGAUGAAGCCGAGGUGGUUGAAAAAUCGAACCUGCGGUGCUUGCUAUGGCUGAAAUGUAAUGAAGCCGAGGUGGUUGGAAAAUCGAACCUGCGAGGCUUGAUGGUUGAAUGAUGAGGCGAAGGCCGAGGUGUUUGGGUAACCAAACCUGCGAGGCUUGAUAGCUGAAUGAUGAAGAGGAAGCCGAGGUGGUUGGCUAACCGAACCCGCGAGGCUUGAUGGCCGAAUGAUGAAGAGGAAGCCGAGGUGGUUGGGUAACCGAACCUGCGAGGCUUGAUGGCUGAAUGAUGAUAAAGAGGAAACCGAGGUGGUUAGGUAACCGAACCUAUGAGGCUUGAUAGCUGAUUGAUGAAGAGGAAGUCGAGGUGGUUGGGUAACCGAACCUACGAGGCUUGAUAGCUGAAGUCUGAGGCACAAUGAUAAUAAUUGUUCAUCGGUAGUUGUGCAAAUGAUUUGAUAUUUUGCGCAUAUUUUCGAGGAAAGGUGGCUGCACCGUUACAACUUCCAAGGCGCCUGCUGCCGUCGAAUUAAAGUCGUAUCAUGAGAACAGUUGGAGCUUCUAGAAGCAGACGCGUUGGGAGAGGUGCGUGGGAGACACGCUUUAAUCUGAGGUGUAGGUUUGAAAAACCAUUUGAAUUCUAUGCCUCGGAUUUGAUUUAGAAUGAAGGGUCCAAAUUGGAUGGGCUUUGAUCAGACGGUUGGGGUUCGUCCUGGCCCCUUAUAAAAGGCAAGAGACCCCCAUUUUUCUGGAUUUUCUACCUUUGCAUUCUGAUUUUUCAUCCAAAGCUUAAGUUUUUUGACAUUGAAGCUGUUUCUUCCAAUCUGGCAACAUUCUGUUGGCGUAGUUAUUCCGGUAGGUAUUUUUACGGAAAAUCCCUUGCAUUGCGUUCAUUUGUCCUUUUCUGAAAUAGAGUCCACCUCAGGUAGGGAGUUGGUCACUGUCGCGUCAUUCGGUGAGGGGGCUAGUUACAGGGAGGACUUCGAGGUUGAGCAGUAUGCUAUGACCGAAGAGGCAGUAGACUACAGUGUAGAGUGGGAGGCGUCUAGAGUCCCUUCGAAUAUGAGACGGAAGAGGCUGGGGGAGUCAGGGAGAGGUACUGUGUACAUCAUUGUGUAGAGAUGUUAGUACCCAAGGCCCAUGAGCGACCCUACUAUCCGAGGCCUGGAUACGUGGCGGUGAGCGAGUACCUGUUUAAGGCAGGUAUGUGUCUUCCUCUGCACCCCUUCUUCAGGGUGGUGCUGAGGAACUUUAUGUUGUCACCGACCCAGGUUCUGCCAAAUUGGUGGAGCCAAUUGGUUGGCUCGUACUUCCUAUGGAAGGAAGUGUUAUUUGGAGAAGACAUGCCUCUCCACGUCUCCAUGACCCUAUUCCAGCCUAAGGUAAUAGGUAAGGAGUCAAGGGGGUGGUAUUACUUAACUCCUUGGGGGGCUAAUGCACCAUUUGUGGUGGGGCUGCCUUCUUCCAUUAAAGGGUGGAAGGAGUCGUGGUUCUGGGUGAGGGGCAGGUGGCAGGCGAUGGAGUGAGACACAGCUCUGGCUUGCACAGUACCGACCCAGUACUACGAAGCUCGUGAGUCUCCCAGCCUAAGUAGUUUGCAUUUUGUAUUCAAAUUUAUUUUUCUAACUGUUGAGGCUUCCUUUGUAGAUAGCAGUACAAGGUUCGAGUUGAGCAAGGAGAAGUUUGAAGUGAUAGAGGACAUUUACACGAGACCUCUCAAGCUUCGCCACUUCGACCACCUCAUCGACCAAAGUCGCUACUUCCUCGAUUUUGAACUGAUGGCCUCCAAAGGUAAGAAGCUCCUACACUUGUGUAUUUCUUUCCUUUUGUUUUGAUGCUGACGCGUUGACAUGUUCUGCAGACAAGUUCAAGGGAGGGAAUACCCAGCCCCUGACAUGGCCUCUAUACUCAGGGCCACAUCCACUGUGAAGGCGAGGCCCUUGAAGCCGGGGUCGACUGGUACCAAAGAGGUUUGGAGAAGGGUUGAGCGCCUCUCCAAGGACAGUAGUUCAAGGGCUCCUGAAGAGGGGACACCUCAGAGGCAGGAGAAGGUCAAAGAGCCUUGGGGAAAGGAGAAGGUCCCCGAGGAGCCAAAGAAGAGGAAGCUGGUGCACGUCACCAGCUCAUCAGGAAAGUUCGGGACCUCUGUGUCCCAUGAAGGCAGAGAAGUCACUCGGCUGAAGCUCCUUGCAGCUGCCUCGAAAGCGGUCAAGAUUGAAGUGGUUUGAUGCGCCGAGGCUGAGGAGGCCAAGGAAGAGGCUGUGAGGAGGGCAGCUAAGGCGGUAGAGGACGAGGUCGCCAAGUAAAGGCCUACGAGGUUGCAAGGGAAGUCUCUGAGCUUCCUUGCCGAUAGGGAGGAGGUUCUGGCUCCAGCUUUGGUGGAGGCUCUGCCACCUGAGAUCCAAAGUGCUACAGAAAGCUUCUACAAAUUAUGGACGGAUCGAUGGCAGUUGCAUGCCUCCUCAUGUGACACCACGGACUUGACAAGGGCCCUUGUGAGCCAAAGUGUGAGGACCUUUGGUCUCGCACUGGAGUGCAGGGAGGCCCUUACUGACUUUCAAAUGAGGACCCAGUCCUUGGAGAAGAAGAUGGCCUCCCUUGCAGAGGAGCUAAAGGGAGCUAGAGCCGAGGUAGAGAAAGCGAAGGCCCAAAAAUUUGAAGAUGCGGCCAAGCUGGAGUCUGCCUUGGCUCAGAUCGAGGCGUUGACGAAGGAGGUGUAUGAGUCCCAGUGCGAGGUGGCCUCCUUGACUAAGAAAGUGGAGGUUUCCAAUGACCACCAGAAGGUGACUGCCGAAGCCUUGGAAAAGGCAAACUUGGAGCUAGCUGGGGUCCAAGAUGCGUACAAGUUCUUGGAGGGCCAGAUAAAAUGGUAUGUUGAUGAUGCGGCCAAGGCAAGGGAGGAGGCCAAUGUAGUGAGGGAGGAGGCGGUGAGAGACUACAUUGCCAACUUCCACAAUACCGAGGGGUACAAGAGUUUUAGCACCUACUGGAGAAAUUAUGCCUAUACUGAGAUGAUGGAAAGGGUUGAGGAACUUUACCUGAAUCAAGACCUGUCACAGCUAAGGUCGGAGUUUGUGGAUGAAGUACCUCAAACCCCAGCUGAUGAGGCAGUUGGAGAUGAAGUAGCAGAGGAGAAAAAGGAAGUUUUGAUGCUCUGGCUGCGGAGGCCCUGACUGCUGAGGCACCUCCAUCAUCGUCCCAGGCUUAGGAUAGUUUUCUUUUCAAUUAUUUCUGAUGUACUGGCCUCAGGCUCCCUUUUGUAAUCUUGAUUGUAAAUCAAUAUAAUAUCUUUUCAUUCAAUGUUGUUUUUCUCCUAAGUACAUUGGCCUCGUCAAGCAAUUGAACUUAAUGUUGAUUGAAGAACUAAAUAACUUUAACUUGGUAUCCUAACUCCAAUCACUUGAACAAGUAAAUUGUACGCAAGCCUCAUGAGCCAUGACCAAUAUUGGACUGCAAAUGACUUAAGCUUAAUAACUAUAACCUGAAUGGAUCCUGACAAUGCGCCUCGGAGUUCAAGCGAGGUGGCCGAGAGAUGGGAUGCUAACCUCUCCUUCGAGGUGGCGAUGCUUCCCAACAUGGUGGAUGGUUCAGCCAUGCUGAGGUUUCUCCCAGUGGCGUUCAACCUCGCCUAAGGGAGGCAAGUGCACGCACCUCGAAUUUCAAACGAGGUGGCCUAGAGAUGGGAUGCUGGCCUCUUAUCCAAGGUAACGAUGCUUCCCAACAUGGUGGAUGGUUUGCUGAGACUUCUCCCAGUGGCAUUCAGCCUUGCCUAAUGGAGACAAGUGCAUGUGCCUUGAAGUUCAGACGAGGUGGCCCAGAGAUGGGACACUGGCCUCUCCUCCGAGGUGACGACGCUUCCCAACAUGGUGGAUGGUUCAGCCAUGCUGAGGAUUCUCUCAGUGACGUUCAGCCUCGCCGAAGGGAGGCAAGUGCAUGCGCUUCAGAGUUCAGACAAGGUGGCCCAAAGAUGGGACGCUGGCCUCUCCUCCGAGGUGACGACGCUUCCCAACAUGGCGGAUCGUUUAGCCAUGCUUAGGCUUUUCCCAAUGGCGUUCAGCCUCGCCAAAGGAAGACAAGUGCAUGUGUCUCAAAGUUCAGAUGAGGUGGCCUAGAGAUGGGACGCUGGCCUCUCCUCCGAGGUGACGACACUUCCAAACAUGGUGGAUGGUUCAGUCAUGCUGAGGCUUCUCCCAGUGGCGUUCAGCCUCGCCAAAGGGAGGCAAGUGCAUGCGCCUUGGAGUUUAGACGAGGUGGCCCAGAGAUGGGACACUGGCCUCUCCUAUGAGGUGAUGACGUAAUGCGACACAUGAUUUCAAUCAUGGAUAAUUUUAUUGAAUCAUAGAAAUGUUACAUAAGCUGGGAAAGAUCGUCCAACGAGGUAGUACAUUCAUUGAUAAUAGAUUCGGAGGUGCUCAAUGUUCCAUGGACGAGGUUGUGCCUUGCCGUUCAUGUCUUCAAUCCAGUAAGUCCUGGGUCGGAUCUCCUCUCUGAUUUUAUAUAGACCUUCCUAGUUCGGCUCAGGGAACCGGUGCCAGGUUCCUUUGAGAAGAGAAAUACUCUUCUAAAGAUCAGGUCGUUGAUUCAAAAUGACAUCUUCUUAACCUUUGAGUUGAAGUACUUCGUCAUCUUUCUUUGAUAUGUUCCAAACUUCAGUUGGACAUCAUCUCUCCUUUCCUCAAUGAAGUCGAGGUCAUACAUGCGAAGCUCGUCGUUUGUUAUCUCACUGAAAUGCAGACGUCGUGGAGAUAGAAGUCCAACUUCGACGGGGCUCAUCGCCUCAGUCCCAUAUGCCAUGAGGAAAGGUGUUUCCCCUAUUGGAGUCCUCGUAGUGGUUCGGAUUGCCCAAAGAACCUGUGGCAGCUCAUCCACUCAAGCCCCUUUUGACACAUUAAGCUUCCUUUUCAAGACUUGCUUGAUUGUCUUGUUCACAGCCUCAACCUUGUUCAUAGCCUCAACCUAUUUGUAAGUUUGGAGAGUGCAUCCGCAUGUGCAUUUUCGAUGUGGAGGAUCUGGAUCAACUCAAACUUUUCAAAGGAUGGGAUGAGGUUCAUCACCAUUUUCAAGAAGGCCAUUGUUUUGUCCCUGGCAGAGAAGUUACUGUUGACCUAGCUAACGACCAGCUGGGAGUCACUACUGAUGAGUAGCCUCUUUACUUGCAUUUCUCUAGCUAACUUGAGCCCUGCAAGGAGUGCCUCGUAUUCUGCUACAUUUUUAGUGGCCUUGAACCCGAACCUCACCGUCGAGUUCAGCUUGUGACCUUCCGGGCUGAUGAGGACAACUUCGGCACUUAAGCCGGCAUCCCCAGCCGACCCAUCAAUGAAUAAGUUCCACUAGGGGCCUCGGCUUGUUCCAUAAUUUCAUUUACCUUGGGUAAGUUGGCGAAUUCUGCCACAAAGUCAGCUAAGGCUUGGCCCUUGAUGGCUGCCCUAGCCUUAAACAUGAGGUCAAAUUCACUUAGCUCCACCGCCCAUUUCAAUAAUCUUCCUGAGGCAUCGGGCUUUUGGAGUACCUGCCUUAGGGGAAAGUUUGUGAGCACAUGGAUGGUGUGGGCUUGGAAGUAGGGUCUCAACUUCCUGGAAGCCGUGAUCAAGGCCAAAGCGAGUUUCUACAUAUCGGGGUAGUUGGUUUUCGGCGAUAAGAGUGCUUUACUUGUAUAGUAAAUGGGGAGUUGGGUGGUCCCUCUUCUCGGAUUAGAACCGCACUGAUGGCCUCAUUGGAAACGGCUAGAUACAGCUGUAGAAUUUUACCGGGCUUCGAUUUGGAGAGGAGGGGGGCCUGCCCUAUGUGACUUUUCAGGCCCUAGAAGGCCUCUUCACAUUCCUCAUUCCACUAUAACUUCUUCCUAGCUUUUAACACUUUGAAAAAUGGGAGGCAUUUGUCUGUAGCUUUGGAGACGAAGCGGCUAAGCGCGGCCACUCGCCCAGUCAAGCUUUGCAACUCCUUUGACUUUUGGGGGGACCUCAUCUUGCAUAAGGCCUCAAUCUUCUCAGGGUUGGCUUCGAUACUGCAUUGGUUGACCAUGUAUCCUAAGAAUUUGUCGGAGGCCACUCCAAAGGCGCACUUGAGGGGGUUGAGUCUCAUCCUAUAUCUUCUCAAGAUUUGGAAGGUGUUGUUGAGGUGCGUUAUGUGGUCCCCAGCUUCCAAACGCUUUACCAGCAUGUCGUCUACGCAGACUUCCAUUGUCUUGCCGAUGAGGUCCACAAACAUUUUGUUCACGAGCCUUUGAUAGGUUGCUUCGGCAUUUUUCAAUCCGAAAGGCAUCAUCUUGUAGCAUAAAGGCCUUGGUCUGUGAUAAAAGAUGUGUGUUACUCAUCGGCCGGGUGCAUGGAAAUUUGAUUAUAGCCGGAGUAUGCGUCCAUGAAGCUCAAUAACUCGUGCCCAGCCGUGAAGUCUACUAGUUGGCCUCGGAUUGUUUUUGUUGAUUCAUUUUGAGUGGAAAAAAUGAAUUUAAUUUGUUGAAAUGCUUUAUUAUAAAUCUUUACUUAGUUUUCACUUUAUUAUGGCCUUGUUUGAUUCCUAUUUUUCCCGGAAUACAUUUCUUUCGCUUCUUUUAACAACACAUUUUUCAAUAAAAUAAUAUUACAAGAAAAUUCAAAACUUUUUCUUAUUUUUUAAUCACACAUUCUCCAUCAAUCUACUAUUCCAAAAUACAUUUUUCCAAUUUAAUGGUGUUCAAACAAGUGCAAUAAGUUCAAACAAGUGCAAUAAGUAUAAUAUAGUAUUUUGUAAAUUUGGAAUUAUUUUAUAGGUUAAUGUUGGGACUUACUCCAUAAAGAGCAUUGAGGCUUAUGUCUCGACUAUCUCGGAUGCAAAUUACCUUAUACCCGAUUUUGCUCUUUAAAUAAUGUGCACAUAACCAUAUAUUCUCAAGAAAGAACAGUAAAUCAUAGAAAACUAUUAAGAUUAGUUUUUUACUUUUUCCUUCGUGAGAUGAAAAUUCUUUAGCUCCAGUAAUACUCAAUCCCCCAUCUAAAAAACUAAAUAAAUGAAUAAGUUGUUUCUCUCUUUAGAUAUGAUCGAAGACCAUUCUGCAACAUACUAUUCAAACAUUCCUCCACUUUCAAUUGUGAACAAAGGUCAAAUAUUGUUGAACUUCGAUACUUUCAGAAAAUUCUCUCAAAGGCAAUGGCAGAGCCAUGAAAAUUUAUUUUGGAGGAGCUAUUACGGUAGGAAGUCGACGAGUGACGGUAGCUACAAAGAGAACGAUAAUUGAAGAAAACAUUAAAGCUACAUAUUUUGUUAAAAAACUUUGUUAGAAAACAUAAAAUUAAAUAACUUUCGAUUAACCAUAAAUAAAAUACAAAUAAAUAGUGAAGAAAAGCAAAAGAAAAAAAAAAAAAAAAAGGAAACAUCAUUAUUUUGUAAAAAAAUCAAUAUUGGUUAUACGGAACCNGAAAAAAAAAAAAAAAAAAAAAAAAAAAAAAAAAGGAAACAUCAUUAUUUUGUAAAAAAAUCAAUAUUGGUUAUACGGAACCUAAAAAAUAAAAAAAGUUGAGAAAAUAAAUUGAACCAAAGGUUCUCAUGUACCUAAAAUUUUAUAAAAUUUUCAUUUCUUCAUUAAUGUUUGUUGCUUGUAACUGACCGGUUGGGUUGAUUCAUCGAAAUUCAAAUUAUUUCAACACAAUUUUAGUUUUUGACAUUUUCUGGAAUUGAAAUACCAACAUAACUAAUAAAAAAAACUUGAAAGUGAUAUAUGUUGUCUAUGUAAAUCACAGAUGUAAAAUAUGCGGAAUUCGUCGAUGAAAGGGUAUAAAAAACGAAAAGAAAAGAUAUAGGUUAGGCGUAAAUCGAUAUGCUGAAAUAAAAAUACAAAGAACCAAUGAUAUAAAAGUAAUGAAUCCAAAUGUAAAUAGAGUCCGGGUACAAAUUCCAUAGAAUACACGAAUUCCAUAGAAUACUUUUAUAAUAUAGAUGGGAUUGUGUAUCAUUAUAGACAAAUAAAACUUUCUAAAAAAUUCUUAUUCGUCCACUUGAAAUUUUGAAGUGGAUGAAUAAGUAAACAAUUCAAAUUGGAUUCGGUUGAAUGAUAACAAUGAAAUUGAGUGCUAACUUCAUUUCUUAUUGAAUCAACUGGUCGUUGUGCUAUCGAACCUUUAUUUUGAAUUCAAUAAUUUUUGCCAAAAAAAAAAUUAAAAAAAAAUCGACAUAAUUUGUUUAUUAUUAUGAGAGUUAAUCCUGCUAAUGAUUAUGAAUUUCCAUUCUUGAGAGAGAGAGAGAGAGAGAGCACUAGGGCAUAUCGUCCAAAUCAUAUGUCCAGUAUUAGAUGUAGCCCCAUCAAACAAGGUACCUAAUAUUUAUGACGCUCUCAUAGUUAAAGGUCGAAAUACUGUUGGUUAAGUAAUUAAUGAGACUUGUGAGGUACAACAAUUACUAGAAUAUAAUCGAGUUAGAGUUGUAACUAUAAGUGCUAUAGAUGGUUUGAUUAGAGGAUACAUGAGCUCCUCUAAGCCUUUCGGUGUGAGAGUGACUUUGGGACGAAUUUUCAACAAACCAAAUGUCAAGAACUGCUUGACAAAAACCUAGUAUUUUACGUAAUGCUUGACAACCUUCCAUUAGUGCUUAACCCACUCACUGAAGUGUUUGCUUUACACAUUAUUCUAAAUACUUAUAACGAAUUUCAUUCAUUGACGCUAGCAUACCACACCAUGACACUUGGUUAAACAUAAAUGCAAAAAGUGCAAACAUUUUACUGCACGCAAAGAAUUUAUGGUAAUUUGGUUGCCCAAAAUUUGAAUUUCAGUAUGCAUCUCAAGAAACUAUUCUAUAAAUAAUUGGAUACUAAACAAAAAUUUGACAAAAGGAACUUACAUUUCGAAGACAAACGUCAUUAAUUGCCUCAGCAAUUGCCAGACACACAACAUACUGCACAAGUGGCACCACUCGACCAUCUUCCAUUUGUAUUGUAAAUGAAAACAUUAGGCAUCCCUUCGGUGACUCCCAUACAUUCUUUAACCGACCUUCAAACCCCACCCACCAUCCCAAAAAUAAAGAAUGAAAAGAAAUUAGAGAAUGAAAAACUUGAAACUCCUACUACAUUAUACCACAUGCUAAUACCUCUGCCUUUGAGCUGCACAUCAGCAACACAUACUGUGCCUAACGGCAACUCGCAAAAAUUACUACAAAAGAACAUUAAGAAAAUGUAGUCAAAACAAAAUUGUACAUUUCUUAACAUUUCACGUAAUAUUAUCAAAUUUAUGCCUGUAGACAACAAAUUUUAUAGCUUGAGUAUUUAGAAUUGAAGUGAAAACAUUAGAUCCUAAACUGGAAAACUAUACACCAAGAACAUGUCAAUUGCUGAAGCACAAUAUGCAGCAUGAGUUUGUGGUACCUUAUGAAAGUGUUAUACCUUGCUAUUAUUAAAAUUAUCAACACCAAAAACUUGACAAUAUUAAAACAUGACAAAAAUGCUUAUUUCCAGAGGAGUGGAGAAAGCCAACAAUUACUUUACAAUCAGCAAUGCCAGCAAGGUUCCAGCAAAGUGGACAAAGCCAACAAUUGCUUCACAAUCAACAAUGCUAGCAAAGUUCAGAAAUUCUAGAAGAAUCUAAGGACGAUGGCCGAGGGUAUAUUCUGAUGUGUCUACUGGAGUCUUCUGGAAGAAUUUCUUGUUCUUUUUUGUCAAAGUUUUUCGUUCUAGACAAUUGUAUAAAUAGCCUACCACAUGCUUGUAUUUUCAACACAAUGAAAUAUACAAAAAAGUAAUUUCUCCCAACUUGAUUCUUCUCUACGUUUUUUCUAUUUUCAUUGAUUUUUCUUAUAUGGCAUCAGAGCAACCAUAGCUCAAGAAGAUUCUAUCAACUCAAAUCAAAAUCAAAUCCUACCUCCAAAUCCAGAACAAGAGGAUUUUACCAACUCAAAUCAAAAUCAAAACCUACCUCCAAAUCCAAAUCCAAACUCCGUUGAUCCAUCCCAGUCAUUCAACCAUAUUUUAUUGGUAAUAACGAUAGUUCUGGAGCAUUGCUAGUUACUCAAAUGUUGGAUUCCAGCAACUAUCAUUCCUGGGCUAGAUCGAUGAAGAGAGCUCUCUAAAUCAAGAACAAACUAGGCUUCAUAGAUGGGAGUAUUUGUGAACCCACUGAUGCAAACAGUCCAUUGAUGGAUCAUUGGUAGCGCUACAAUGAUAUCAUCAUCACCUGGUUGCAAAACACCAUGUCCGUGGAUAUCAAGCCAAGCACACUCUAUGUUGAAACGGCUCACCAGUUGUGGCUGGAACUUGAGCAGCGACUUGCACAACAAAAUGUACACAGAAUUUAUAAGAUAAAUUUAUAAUGUUAGUAUGUACUUCUCAAAACUGAUGAGUGUUGAAUUAUAAAUGCAUUUCUAACUGUACUUGUGGGGAACUAAAGAUAGUAUUGAAUAAUUAAGAGAAGGAUUGGGUGAUGAAAUUUCUCAUGGGGCAUAAUGACUCGUACAAGAACCUUAAGGCUCAAAUCCUUCUAAUCAAACCUUUUUCAAGUUUCAAUGAGGUUUAUUCUAUCAUUCAACAAGAAGAAAAGAGAACGAAAAUUUCUAUUGAUGUUCCUACUAAUGCACUAUGGCACUUAUGGCAAAGGUAGCUGCGAGAGAUGAAGGAAAACGAAAUACGAUGCCCCAAAGAAAAUAUUAUUGCACCCUUUGCAAAAUGUCUAGACAUUCAAUUGAGAGAUGUUUCAAAGCCAAUCCUGAUAAACCAGAGUGCAAUUAUUGUAAUAUGCCUGGACACAGGUGGGAAAUGCUUCAAAUUACAUGGCUAUCCACCGAGGCACAAGUUCUAUAGAAAACCUGGAGCCACUGGAUCUUCUGCCAAUCAAGCAGUCACUCUUAGUCAGCCUGGACAAAAGCAGCUCAGUAACAACACCCAAAUGUCUUCUCAAGAGCAAUAUGCUCAGCUGAUGGCCUUACUCAAACUACAGAACAACCAACUUUACACAUCCUCAGCCAACUAAGUGAAAACCCCUUUACCUUCUUCUUUAAGUGAGGUUGACAUUCCAAAGAUUUAUGGUAUUUCCCUCUAUUUCUGUGUAUAAUACAAAACCAAAAAAUAUCUAUGUUGUUGCUUGGAUUAUGGACACCUGGGCAAUAGAUCACAUGAUAUGUUCCCCUAUCUUUUUCACCACUAUUAAGGCAAAAAUUAAUCAUUGCUAUCCCAAAUGGAGAUU